GACGAACGCUGGCGGCGUGCCUAAUACAUGCAAGUUGAGCGCUGAAGGUUGGUACUUGUACCAACUGGAUGAGCAGCGAACGGGUGAGUAACGCGUGGGGAAUCUGCCUUUGAGCGGGGGACAACAUUUGGAAACGAAUGCUAAUACCGCAUAAAAACUUUAAACACAAGUUUUAAGUUUGAAAGAUGCAAUUGCAUCACUCAAAGAUGAUCCCGCGUUGUAUUAGCUAGUUGGUGAGGUAAAGGCUCACCAAGGCGAUGAUACAUAGCCGACCUGAGAGGGUGAUCGGCCACAGUGGGACUGAGACACGGCCCAAACGCCUACGGGAGGCAGCAGUAGGGAAUCUUCGGCAAUGGACGAAAGUCUGACCGAGCAACGCCGCGUGAGUGAAGAAGGGUUUCGGAUCGUAAAACUCUGUUGGUAGAGAAGAACGUUGGUGAGAGUGGAAAGCUCAUCAAGUGACGGUAACUACCCAGAAAGGGACGGCUAACUACGUG
rnacentral:rRNA from 1 species